AAGCCGCACCAUUGAUGUCGUUAAUGGCUGCUGACGGCCAUUACUCCCUCUCCCGGUGCUCUCUCUCUCUCUCUUCUCCCUCUAUAAAAGCUCGACGCCAAGCUCAUGGACCAUUUCCCCCGGCUGCCGAGCUCGCCCACGCCUCUCCUCUCUCCUUGUCGUCGUACGUCGCCGUCGACCGACAUUGUCUCGUCGUCUCCGACGUUCGUCACCACCGGAACACCUCUGUCCACCGUCCAUGCCGUCGACCGGAGCUCGAAGCUCCACCGUCCACAUCCUUUACUCACCUCGUCCACAAUCGGUCGGAACCUCGCUCGUCGCCAGCCCCUGCGUGCAAGAAAUAGAGGAGGGAAGAAGCGGAUUCUGUGGUAGAGGACCCAAAUUCAUUUGAGGAAGAUCCACAUGAUACUUUUGAACAAGGCAAGUGGAUUCUCCCUCUGCAUUUCUUAUUUGUACCCAAAUAAUACAUUCAAUAAGAUUUACUUUUGGAUAUGUGCAUAAUUUGAUGGGUUUUGCCUAAAUAGGAUUAUCUAGAAAUACCAACCUUAUUCCUUGAUUAACAUGGGAUUAAUACUAUGCUUAGUAGCUAUGCUAAUGCUCAACUUUAUCAUUAUGAUAUCACUCUUUGAAAACAAUAUGGUUCCGGAGAUGAAUUUUAUACUAUUGUUGUUAAUCCGACGAUUAAACAAGAUCAUUUUGUAUUAAACGUAACAUGGACUGACAAUAUCCGACGAUUAAACAAGAUCAUUUUGUAUUAAACGGAACAUGGACUGACCACCUAGGAAAAAAAGUACAACCAUGAGUGCUAUCAUGGCUCUGUCUUUGGUAAAUAGCUUUACUUAGUACUUAGCAACCUUACCUGAAAGAUGGGCACCGACAGUGGUUUGGUGGCAGCUCACGUUAACACGGAUGAUAGUCUUGGCUCAGGUACCUCAGCCAGAGGGUCACCAAUACUGAUGUGGAAACCUUAGCGGGUGAUUAGGAGCUUGUUGAUCUAUUUGGGGCACUUGUGAGAGGGCCAAGCCUUGUGUGCGAUCAACCAUGCCAUAGUGGUGAAAAAUCUGUCCGUAUGGAGCACUUGAUUAUUACAUAGAUUAAGGUGGAGUUAUACCUUGUUCACAUGCUCUAAUGAGAACUAGUGGAGAGUCGCCCAAUGCCUUCAGAAACAUCAACAUGUAUGUAAACCGUUUUUUAUUUUGAGCAUCUAUAUUUGUGCAAUUACUUCAUGAA